GCUGAUAUGGUUUGACUGUGUCCCCACCUGAAUCUCAUUUGAAUUCCCAGUGUUGUGGGAGGGACCCAGUGGGAGGUAAUUGAAUCAUGGGGGCAGGUCUUUCCCAUGCUGUUCUCAUGA